rnacentral:misc_RNA from 1 species
CAGAGUUGCAAAACUCCCUAAACCAUCGUGAACGUUACCUAUACCGUUGCUUCGGCGGGCGGCCCCGGGGUUUACCCCCCGGGCGCCCCUGGGCCCCACCGCGGGCGCCCGCCGGAGGUCACCAAACUCUUGGUAAUUUAUGGCCUCUCUGAGUCUUCUGUACUGAAUAAGUCA